ensembl:lncRNA
CCCUUGGACACCUUUCAUUCUCAGGUGUAAAUGCACAGAAGAGAGAAGUUAAUGACCACUUAUCUUGUACCAUCUUGGGAGGAGUGACUUCUGGUGCUAAGUAUCAGGAAACAUCCGGGGGAAUGAUUUCCAGCUCUGCGUAUAAAUUUGUUUUCUCUGAAGACUCAAAAAUGUCUGCAGGCCUUCAUCAUCACAGUUCUCACGGUGAAGACUGCAAAGGCCGGCCUAAGAUUUUGAUCAGUGGAAAGCUAGGAUGCCCUCCAUGCUCUUCUCCACCACCGGAAUGUUCUCAGAACUUUUCUCGCUUGCUCUCCAAAUCCUA